AUGGCUGCGCCCGAGGUGGGGACUGAGGUGCGUUCUGGGUUGAUGCGCCGACUUACGGUAAUGGGAGGAUGUGACGUAGCAGAAACGAGUGAGAGUGAGAGUGAGAUGGAGAAGGAGGAAGCGGGAGAAACAAAUCGUGGAUGGGAGAAAGUUAUUUCUAGGAAAAAACAAAAGAGAAGAAGAUCUAAUAGUGAUAAUAGUUUAAAUGCUAAAUCUCUGAAGUCAGGUGAGGAUAACACUGGAGGAAAUGUAAGACAACAGGAAGAAAUAAAGGUAAAACUACAGUUUGAUUCGCCAUGUUCUUUGAAUCCAUUGAAGCUAUCAAAAGCGUUAUACAACGCUGUAGGAACUGUGUCAGUUAAGCCAUUAAGAGACGGAAGUUUAAUCAUUACAUGUGUUGAUAACAGACAAAAGGACCUUUUGAUUAAAAUGACGAUCUUGGAGGGGAAAAAGAUCAAGUGUGGAUUAUGGGAGAAGAAAAGAAUAGUGCAGGGAGUGAUCACAGGGGUCCCAACUGAGUUGACUAAUGAUGAGAUUAUGAGUAAUGUGACUGGAGCUAAGGUAGAAAGAGUGAAGAGGUUAAUGUAUAAUAAAAACGGGAUUAAAAAAGAGAGUUUAUCCAUACUGUUAUCCAUGAGAGAGGAGACGUUACCGACAAGAGUUAGGGUAGGAUAUAUGAGCUACCAAGUACGUGAGUACAUCCCACCCCCACUCAGAUGCUUUAAAUGUCAAAAAUAUGGGCAUAUAGCAGCAGUAUGUAGAGGAAAAGCCAGGUGUGGCAAGUGUGGAGGGGAGGACCAUGAGUAUGGUAAAUGUAAGCAAGGUGUUAAAGUUAAAUGCUGUAAUUGUGGAGGAGAGCACAGUGCUGCGUACAAAGGGUGUGAGAUGCACAAACGCGCAGUAGAGGUUCAGAGAAUUAAAGUAGAGGAAAAGGUAACAUAUGCCGAAGCAAUUAAACAAGUUAAAGGAAAAAAAGAAGCAGAAUUAACAGCAGGAGUUGGUCCCGGAAUAUCGGGACAGAAUCAGCAAUGGUACUCUCAGGAAAUUAGACAGACCAGAAAAGAGGUUAAGUCAAAAAUAUAUCGCAGUGGACAAUGUAAAGUUUAUAGCCUUCAUAGCAGAAGUUAUCAAUUGCUCUGCUCAAACAACAAGCAAAACUGA
ensembl:lncRNA